GACGAACGCUGGCGGCGUGCCUAAUACAUGCAAGUCGAACGCAGUGGGGACGGGUGAUUAACACGUGGGUAACCUCCCAUCAGAGGGGAUAACCCUUGGAAACUGGUGCUAAACCGAUAUUGAUGGAUGAACCCGCGGUGCAUUAGCUAGUUGGUGAGGUAACGGCGCACCAAGGCCACGAUGAAUAGCCGACCUGAGAGGAUGAUCGGCCACACUGGGACUGAGACACGGCCCAGACUCCUACGGGAGGCAGCAGUAGGGAAUCUUCGACAAUGGACGAAAGUCUGACCUAGCAACGCCGCGUGAGUGAAGAAGGUUUUCGGAUCGUAAAACUCUGUUGGUAGAGAAGCGGUAUCUAACCAGAAAGCCACGGCUAACUACGUGCCAGCAGCCGCGGUAAUAC
rnacentral:rRNA from 1 species